AUAUAUGAAGGAGGAGGAUUAUUACGAAUAGGCCUACAAACAUGAGUAUGUUUUUGAAGGCAUGUUUUUAAAAUAAUUGAAAAGGAGGAAAUUUACACAUUAUUAUCUGGCAGCUCGGACAUCUUCCAGUCCUAUCUGAAAGAAAACUAUGGCCACAUCGAGAUGACAGCAGAAGUCACCACAGAGGGUCAUGUGUGGACUACUAAUGCAAAAAAAGUGAAAUUUAUUUGGGAUUAAAAGUUAACAGACCGUUGUGCAACCCGGUGAUAAUCUUGUAUUAAAGGAAGUUCUUAUGUAGAAAGCACAAGUUAUGAAGUUAGUAAAGGCUAUUAUUAAUUACAUCAGAUGACUUUUGUUGCUGCAAGAGUGUCGACCAUGUUCAUCUACUGAAGCUGCAAUGACAUCCACUAUCUCAUAGAAUGCUCUAUGAGCAGUACUUUGAGAAAAAUUAUAUCUGUCAUCAGCAGCUAAGAAUGUCUCUGGUUUGCUCAACAUCCAAAACUAAAAAGUAUUUUCUCCUCAAGAGGUAUUUUUAUAUUUGCAGGCUGAUUAAUUCUCCUUCCUAUAACUUCUAAGCGCACCUAAAAAUGUUGAUGUUAAUCUUUGUAAAAUUGGAUUUUAAUAAAAAAACAAACAAUCUACCAAUUUUCGA